ensembl:lncRNA LOC108351895 uncharacterized LOC108351895
GUGACGUCACAAGAGAGGCGGGCAGCCUAUGUGUUCCUGGGCUGUUGGGGUGAUUGAAACCUGAAAUCUCUAGAAGCUUCUCUCCUAGAGAUCAGCAAGCUUCUUUUUUGGCUCAGACCACCUCACCCUUCCUGAUGCUCACAGCUUGAGAUUUACCUCAGAGUCGGAACUUAGGUACCUCUUUCUACUUAGGUUCCCUUAGAAAGGGAAUAAAACGUCUGUAUGUGCUAUUCCCCUGUGGCAGAGUGGCAGACACUAAGAAGAUGCAAUAGUACAUGGAGGAGGGCUCCUGCAAUGACAUGGGAGACAGAGACAGAAGAGUCACCUAGAAGCUUGCAGGUCAGCCGGCAUGGAAGAUAAGACAGAGGAGCAGGCAAGAGAGGUCCUCAAAGCAAGGUAGAAGGCGAAGAUGGACUCCUAGAAGCUGUCCUCUGAUAAACAGUUUGGCAGUGAUCACAAGACGUUUUGCCCUCAGUAAAGCUCGAGUCACGAAGGACCGCGGGAUCAAAUGAUGUCAUAGGUCUUGCCUCACUCACAGGCAUCUGCUUCUUGGGAGGAGGCACCAACUGAAGGUCAGAGGGGUACAAAACAGCCACACCAAAGUGGUCUGGUUGAGGUCACCAGUCAACACCAGCUCCUCCCUUGCUCAUUGCCAGCUGAUCAUGAUGGGGGUGCUGUGUGCCUUGACAACGUGAAGGCCAAACGUGUGAUGGCCUCUCACUCCUUCCUGGGAUGCUGAAGGUGGCUGGACCACUCUCCAUUUGAUGGCCACUUAUACCAUGGGGAACGGGAACUAAGGCAGUUUUACUGAUCAACGAACGGAACUGGGG